rfam:Brachypodium distachyon strain Bd21 chromosome 1, whole genome shotgun sequence.
AAAAUACUCCCUCCGUUCCAUAAUUCUUGUCUCAAAUUUGCCUAAAAAUGGAUGUAUCUAUUCCUAAAAAACGUGUAGAUACAUGUAAUAUUUCGACAAGGAUUAUGGAACGGAGGUAGUAUAUG